UGGCUCAGGACGAACGCUGGCGGCGUGCCUAAUACAUGCAAGUCGAGCGAGCUUGCCUAGAUGAUUUUAGUGCUUGCACUAAAUGAAACUAGAUACAAGCGAGCGGCGGACGGGUGAGUAACACGUGGGUAACCUGCCCAAGAGACUGGGAUAACACCUGGAAACAGAUGCUAAUACCGGAUAACAACACUAGACGCAUGUCUAGAGUUUGAAAGAUGGUUCUGCUAUCACUCUUGGAUGGACCUGCGGUGCAUUAGCUAGUUGGUAAGGUAACGGCUUACCAAGGCAAUGAUGCAUAGCCGAGUUGAGAGACUGAUCGGCCACAUUGGGACUGAGACACGGCCCAA
rnacentral:rRNA from 1 species